rnacentral:rRNA from 1 species
GAUGCGAGCGUUAUCCGGAUUUAUUGGGUUUAAAGGGUGCGUAGGCGGCCUGCCAAGUCAGCGGUAAAAUUGCGGGGCUCAACCCCGGCGAGCCGUUGAAACUGUCGGACUAGAGACGGCGAGAAGUACGCGGAAUGCGCGGUGUAGCGGUGAAAUGCAUAGAUAUCGCGCAGAACCCCGAUUGCGAAGGCAGCGUACCGGCGCCGGACUGACGCUGAGGCACGAAAGCGUGGGUAUCGAAC